rnacentral:rRNA from 1 species
ACAUGCAAGUCGAGCGGGCGAGGUUGCUUCGGUAACUGAGCUAGCGGCGGACGGGUGAGUAAUGCUUAGGAAUCUGCCUAUUAGUGGGGGACAACAUUCCGAAAGGGAUGCUAAUACCGCAUACGUCCUACGGGAGAAAGCAGGGGCUCUUUAUGACCUUGCGCUAAUAGAUGAGCCUAAGUCGGAUUAGCUAGUUGGUGGGGUAAAGGCCUACCAAGGCGACGAUCUGUAGCGGGUCUGAGAGGAUGAUCCGCCACACUGGGACUGAGACACGGCCCAGACUCCUACGGGAGGCAGCAGUGGGGAAUAUUGGACAAUGGGGGGAACCCUGAUCCAGCCAUGCCGCGUGUGUGAAGAAGGCCUUUUGGUUGUAAAGCACUUUAAGUGGGGAGGAGGCUUACCUGGUUAAUACCUGGGCUAAGUGGACGUUACCCACAGAAUAAGCACCGGCUAACUCUGUGCCAGCAGCCGCGGUAAUACAGAGGGUGCGAGCGUUAAUCGGAUUUACUGGGCGUAAAGCGCGCGUAGGUGGUUAAUUAAGUCAAAUGUGAAAUCCCCGAGCUUAACUUGGGAAUUGCAUUCGAUACUGGUUAGCUAGAGUAUGGGAGAGGAUGGUAGAAUUCCAGGUGUAGCGGUGAAAUGCGUAGAGAUCUGGAGGAAUACCGAUGGCGAAGGCAGCCAUCUGGCCUAAUACUGACACUGAGGUGCGAAAGCAUGGGGAGCAAACAGGAUUAGAUACCCUGGUAGUCCAUGCCGUAAACGAUGUCUACUAGCCGUUGGGGGAUUUGAUCCUUUAGUGGCGCAGCUAACGCGAUAAGUAGACCGCCUGGGGAGUACGGUCGCAAGACUAAAACUCAAAUGAAUUGACGGGGGCCCGCACAAGCGGUGGAGCAUGUGGUUUAAUUCGAUGCAACGCGAAGAACCUUACCUGGCCUUGACAUAGUAGAAACUUUCCAGAGAUGGAUUGGUGCCUUCGGGAAUC